CUUCUCCAGGUGAGCACCCCCAGCUCUCUCCAGCUGUGAAGCUGUGCCAGAGCCUCCCCACCCUGCCAGGGAGGAAUCUCCUGGCGAGGUGCUGUGUCUCACUGUACUGUGGGAUCUGCCAGCCCCAUGCCGUGGCCGCUCACCGUUGCAGGAACUUGUGGAAGAGGCGGCGGUAGGCGAACCCUGCCCGGCGCACCCGGAUGUUCUCCUUCAGCCCCAGCCCACGGGACACACCUUGAUUUUGGAGCCCGCAGUGGUUGGUCGUCCCUUUUUGUCAGAAUCAAGUUUCUCUGGGAAAAGCAUCCGGAUGAAACCGCUGGAAGGGAGGUGACAGUCCCCAGGUCACACACCACCUUGUUGUUGAAGUACUGGAUCUGUGUCCACUUGAUCCCCUCCUGCACAUAUUCCUCCUGGGGAAGCACAGGGAGAGCUGGGGUUAGCUCGAUGAAGAUCUGCUGCAGCUUCUCGUUCACAAAGUUAAUGCAGAAUUGCUCAAAGCCGUUUUUCUGCAUGAAAGAUGGAAAAUGGUGCCGAGUUGUCUUCUGCUCCUCUGGCUCAUGGAGGGGGACCCCAGCCAGCAGUGCUUGGGUGCUACUCCAGGGACCCUUCUCGGGGCCAGCUGAUCCAGGUGCUGUCCUUGCUGUGGGAGCAGGGCAGGACAUCCCCAGCUGGGUUCCUACAGCACAGCCACACUCACCUGGAAUAUCUCGAAGCCGUAGAUGUCCAGCACCCCGACGCUGUACUCCUCGUACGGCUUCUGCAUGGCCCGGUUGAUGGACUGUGGGGACAGGGGGGACACGCUGGGUGCAGGGUGGUGGCAUUGGCACCUGCAGCAGGGGGUGACCGUUCCCUCUCAGCCCCACACACCUCCACAAGGAAGUCGAAGACGCGGGCGUAGAGCCCCUUGGCCAGGGCGUCUCGGGU